rnacentral:rRNA from 1 species
UACGUAGGGGGCAAGCGUUGUCCGGAUUUAUUGGGCGUAAAGCGCUCGCAGGUGGUUCAUUGCGUCGUGCGUGAAAGACCCCGGCUCAACUGGGGAGUGUCGUGCGAAACGGGUGAACUAGAGGCCAGUAGGGGGAUGCGGAAUUCCGGGUGUAGUGGUGGAAUGCGUAGAGAUCCGGAGGAACACCAGCGGCGAAAGCGGCUCACUGGACCACAACUGACGCUGAGGCGCGAAAGCUAGGG